rnacentral:rRNA from 1 species
AUUGAACGCUGGCGGCAGGCCUAACACAUGCAAGUCGAACGGUAACAGGAAGAAGCUUGCUUCUUUGCUGACGAGUGGCGGACGGGUGAGUAAUGUCUGGGAAACUGCCUGAUGGAGGGGGAUAACUACUGGAAACGGUAGCUAAUACCGCAUAACGUCGCAAGCCCAAAGAGGGGGACCUUCGGGCCUCUUGCCAUCGGCUGUGCCCAGAUGGGAUUAGCUAGUAGGUGGGGUAACGGCUCACCUAGGCGACGAUCCCUAGCUGGUCUGAGAGGAUGACCAGCCACACUGGAACUGAGACACGGUCCAGACUCCUACGGGAGGCAGCAGUGGGGAAUAUUGCGCAAUGGGCGCAAGCCUGAUGCAGCCAUGCCGCGUGUAUGAAGAAGGCCUUCGGGUUGUAAAGUACUUUCAGCGGGGAGGAAGGGAGUAAAGUUAAUACCUUUGCUCAUUGACGUUACCCGCAGAAGAAGCACCGGCUAACUCCGUG